GUCUCAGUAUUAUAACGGUUAGAAUAGAUCCUUCACACGGAUCAGGUGGCGGUUCGAUUCCGCCCUGGGACA